AUACACAGUAAAAUGAUAAACUUAACAGUACAUUAAUGCUCUGGCAAAAUUAAAUAAUACAAAUUCGGCUACGAGAUUUAAGGUGUAACUUUUUUUGAUAGUAAACUACACCUCUUUUCAAGUAAAUUCAAACCUUAUCAUUCUCGUCCCUUAUAAGAUGUAUCAAAAGAAACAGAGAAGUACUGAUCAUUUAAUGUUUCUAAUCAGAAUCAAGGGUGAAUGAACAUAAUAA